UACGUAGGGACCGAGCGUUGUCCGGAAUCAUUGGGCGUAAAGAGCGUGUAGGCGGCUCGCUAAGUCUUGCGUGAAAUCUCGGGGCUCAACCCCGAGCGGUCGUGAGAAACUGGCGGGCUAGAGUGCGGGAGAGGAGAGUGGAAUUCCUGAUGUAGCGGUGAAAUGCGCAGAUAUCAGGAAGAACACCCGUGGCGAAGGCGGCUCUCUGGAACGCAACUGACGCUGAGACGCGAAAGCGUGGGGAUCAAACAGG
rnacentral:rRNA from 1 species